AGAGUUUGAUCCUGGCUCAGGACGAACGCUGGCGGCGUGCCUAACACAUGCAAGUCGAACGGGGAUAGAUUGAAGGUUUACCUGAUAUCUAUUCUAGUGGCGGACGGGUGAGUAACGCGUGAGCAAUCUGCCUUGUACUGGGGGAUAACGUCGAGAAAUCGGCGCUAAUACCGCAUAAUACUAUUAGAUCGCAUGGUCAUAUAGUCAAAACUCCGGUGGUACAAGAUGAGCUCGCGUCCAAUUAGCUAGUUGGUAGGGUAAUGGCCUACCAAGGCAAUGACGGUUAGCUGGUCUGAGAGGAUGGUCAGCCACACUGGGACUGAGAUACUGCCCAGACUCCUACGGGAGGCUGCAGUCGAGAAUCAUUCGCAAUGGGCGAAAGCCUGACGGUGCGACGUCGCGUGGAGGAUGAAGGUCUUCGGAUUGUAAACUCCUGUCAUGAGGGAUAAAUGGCCAGGGCAAUAAUACUGCCUUGGAAUGAUAGUACCUCAGGAGGAAGAGACGGCUAACUCUGUGCCAGCAGCCGCGGUAAUACAGAGGUCUCAAGCGUUGUUCGGAUUUACUGGGCGUAAAGGGAGCGUAGGCGGUUUGGUAUGUCGAAUGUGAAAGCCCACAACUCAACUGUGGAAAUGCAUUCGAAACUGCCGGACUAGAGUACUGGAGAGGAGAGCGGAAUUCUUGGUGUAGCGGUGAAAUGCGUAGAUAUCAAGAGGAACACCGGUGGCGAAGGCGGCUCUCUGGACAGAUACUGACGCUGAGGCUCUAAAGUUAGGGGAGCAAACAGAAUUAGAUACCCUGGUAGUCCUAACCAUAAACGGUGUACACUUGGUGUGCGAGGAAUUGUCCCUCUGCGCGCCGGAGCUAACGCGUUAAGUGUACCGCCUGGGGAGUACGGUCGCAAGAUUAAAACUCAAAGGAAUUGACGGGGAGCCGCACAAGCGGUGGAGCAUGUGGCUUAAUUCGAUGCAACGCGAAGAACCUUACCUGGACUUGACAUGCAAGUAGUAGAACCCCGAAAGGGGGACGAUCCCGCGCAAGCGGGAAGCUUGCACAGGUGCUGCAUGGCUGUCGUCAGCUCGUGCCGUGAGGUGUUGGGUUAAGUCCCGCAACGAGCGCAACCCCCGUGAUUAGUUGCCAUUAUUAAGUUAGGCACUCUAGUCAGACUGCCUGUGAUAAGCAGGAGGAAGGUGGGGAUGACGUCAAGUCAGUAUGGUCCUUAUGUCCAGGGCUGCACACGUGCUACAAUGGCCGGUACAGAAGGAAGCAAUACCGCGAGGUGGAGGUAAUCCCCAAAACCGGCCUCAGUUCGGAUUGGAGUCUGCAACCCGACUCCAUGAAGCUGGAAUCGCUAGUAACGGCGCAUCAGCUACGGCGCCGUGAAUAAAAUCCCGGGUCUUGCACACACCGCCCGUCAAG
rnacentral:rRNA from 1 species